AUCAAUUUUCUGCUAUUCUGCGAACCGCAGAAAAUAACAUUAAUUUACGGGUAGGGAUAAAACGCUGAAACUGAAUCGCGGAAACGGAAACUCAAAGCGGAAACUGAAAUGGGGAUAAAACGCCGAAAUGGGGAUAAAACGCCGAAAUGGGGAUAAAACGCUGAAAUGGGGAUAAAACGCAGAAAUGGGGAUAAAACGCUGAAAUUGAGAUAAAACGCUGAAAUGGGG